rnacentral:lncRNA from 1 species
UUGUAUGUUUUUGUAGAGAUGGGGUUUUGUCAUGUUGCCUAGGCUGGUCUCAAACUUCUGAGCUCACUCUCUAAGGAGCACCAAGUUAGACUUUGAUUCAAAUAUUAGUUCUAUCAAUUACUUGAUAUAUAUCUUUAAUCAGGUUACUUAAACAUACUGAGUUCCAUACUACAUUAUCCAUAAUAACAUUACCAUUUAUGGAUUCUUACGAAGAUUAAAUGAAUAAAGGCAUGAACAUGCUUAGUAUAGUACCACGGGCUACCUUGUCAA